rnacentral:rRNA from 1 species
AGUGAAUAGAUACCCGGGUAGUCCUAGCCGUAAACGAUACUCGCUAGGUGUCGGCCACGGUGCGACCGUUGUCGGUGCCGUAGGGAAAGCCGUGAAGCGAGCCACCUGGGAAGUACGGCCGCAAGGCUGAAACUUAAAGGAAUUGGCGGGGGAGCACCACAACGGGUGGAGCUUGCGGUUUAAUUGGAUUCAACGCCGGAAAUCUUACCGGGACCGACAGCAAUAUGAAGGCCAGGCUGAAGACUUUGCCGGAUUAGCUGAGAGGUGGUGCAUGGCCGUCGUCAGUUCGUACUGUGAAAGCAUCCUGUUAAGUCAGGCAACGAGCGAGACCCACGCCCACAGUUGCCAGCGUACUCUCUGGAGUGACGGGUACACUGUGGGGACCGCCGCUGCUAAAGCGGA